rnacentral:rRNA from 1 species
UUCUGGUUGAUCCUGCCGAAGGCUACUGCUAUUGGAGUUCGAUUAAGCCAUGCGAGUCUAAGGGAUCUUCGGAUCCCUGGCGUAAUGCUCAGUAACACGUGGAUAAUCUACCCUCAGGUGGGACAUAAACCCGGGAAACUGGGGCCAAUUCCCCAUAAAUACAGAUGGCGGGAAUGCUUCUGUAUUCAAAGCUCCGGCGCCUGAGGAUGAGUCUGCGGCCUAUCAGGUUGUAGUCAGGGUCAAGACCUGACUAGCCAGCGACGGGUAUGGGGUGUGAGAGCACUUGCCCAGAGAUGGUUUCUGAGACACGAAACCAGGCCCUACGGGGCGCAGCAGGCGCGAAAACUUCGCAAUGCGGGAAACCGUGACGAGGGAACUCCGAGUGUCUAUGCAUUGCAUAGACUGUUUUUUAGCCUAAAUAGCUAUUAGAGUAAGGGGUGGGCAAGACCGGUGCCAGCCGCCGCGGUAACACCGGCACCCCGAGUGGUAGCCACUAUUAUUGGGCCUAAAGCGUUCGUAGCCGGUUUGGUAAAUUCUUGGGUAAAUCGUACCGCUCAACGGUGCGGAUUCCGGGGACACUACCAGACUUGAGACCGGGGGAGAUCAGAGGUACUUGCGGGGGAGCGGUGAAAUGUUGUAAUCCCGCAGGGACCACCAGUGGCGAAGGCGUCUGAUCAGAACGGCUCUGACGGUGAGGAACGAAA